rnacentral:rRNA from 1 species
GGGGAAUAUUGCACAAUGGGCGCAAGCCUGACGGAGCAACGCCGCGUGAGUGAGGACGGCCUUCGGGUUGUAAAACUCUGUUCUUGAGGAAGAAUUCCUUCCAGGCGAACAGCCUGGAAGGUUGACGGUACUCAAGGAGAAAGCCCCGGCUAACUACGUGCCAGCAGCCGCGGUAAUACGUAGGGGGCGAGCGUUAUCCGGAAUUAUUGGGCGUAAAGCGCGCGCAGGCGGCUGAUUAAGUCAGGUGUGAAAGGCUGCGGCUCAACCGCAGAGCGGCACCUGAAACUGGUCAGCUUGAGUGCAGGAGAGGGGAGCGGAAUUCCCGGUGUAGCGGUGGAAUGCGUAGAGAUCGGGAGGAACACCAGUGGCGAAGGCGGCUCUCUGGCCUGUAACUGACGCUGAGGCGCGAAAGCGUGGGGAGCAAAC